GUGGUGGCGUUGGCGUCCUAGAGCUCCGGAGUUGCUUACCCUUCCUGUAAGGGCAAUCGGACCCUUUCCGAACUCAUGUGAGAAUAUAUCUCUGUUGUAUUCAAAAGGCAUGUGACAUAAUUAUCCCAGCGAUCACUAAAACUGUAAAUUUGGAUGCAAUUAAGAGAGAAAACUCCACACAUUUAUGGAAAUUUAAGUGAUGGAAUGUAAUCCAGAAUGUACUUUUUUAUUUCUGAAAUCUCUGUAAAACAGUACAAUGGAAAAAUGAAAACGAAAGACAUAAUUGAGGAAAUCCAACAUCCCACAAAAAGGAAUUCUAGAAAGAUUUGCAGCUUGCUGGCUUGCUGAGUGGAAAAUGAUUCUUUCCCAGUUCUCCUUGGUUUCUUCCUUUCAUGAAUUGAUUAACACUGAGAGAUUAUGUUUUAAUUAUGUCGACUAGAGGUUUUAAAUGAUUCUAGGUUUCUGUGUCCAUUUGUUUUCCUAGGUUUGGGGAAUUUGCUACUGCAAUAUCGUUGUAUAGAUAUUCUUUGCUUUAGUGAGAAACUCAGCUCCUUCUACUCUGUGGUUCUUAGCUUUAGUCUAUUGUACACAUCACAGAGUUAAUGAAAGCUGUGGUCAUACUUGAUUUUUUCUUCAUUACUAUUGAAAUAAAGCAUAUCCUUGACCUUGUCUCCAAUCUCUAUUUUCAAGUCUGUUGGGGAUACAUUCCACUAUUGUUUGAUUGAAAUAUCCAUUUCCAACAUUUCUAUUACUUUGCUUCUUUUUUUUUUGUCCCCACCAAAAAUAAAUAUUUAUAGAAUUGUAAAUCAAAAUGAAACAUUUUUCUGUAUGUAUAAAAACAAAAGGAAACAAACAAAUAAAAAAAUCUGCAUAUUGA
rnacentral:lncRNA from 1 species